UACGUAGGGUGCAAGCGUUAAUCGGAAUUACUGGGCGUAAAGCGUGCGCAGGCGGCUUUGCAAGACAGAUGUGAAAUCCCCAGGCUCAACCUGGGAACUGCACUCGAAACUUCCGGUCUAGAGUGGUGGAGAGGGAAGUGGAAUUCCUGGUGUAGAGGUGAAAUUCGUAGAUAUCAGGAGGAACACCAGUGGCGAAGGCGGCUUCCUGGACACCAACUGACGCUGAGACGCGAAAGCGUGGGGAGCAAACAGG
rnacentral:rRNA from 1 species